rnacentral:rRNA from 1 species
GUGCCAGCAGCCGCGGUAAUACGGAGGAUGCGAGCGUUAUCCGGAUUUAUUGGGUUUAAAGGGUGCGUAGGCGGACGGCUAAGUCAGCGGUGAAAUAUCCCGGCUCAACCGGGAGGCUGCCGUUGAUACUGGCCGACUCGAGUCCAAACGGCGCCGGCGGAACAUGUAAUGUAGCGGUGAAAUGCAUAGAUAUUACAUAGAACACCGAUCGCGAAGGCAGCUGGCGAGGAUGGCACUGACGCUGAGGCACGAAGGCGUGGGGAUCGAACAGGAUUAGAUACCCUGGUAGUCCACGCAGUAAACGAUGAUGACUUGUUGUCGGCGACACAAUGCCGGUGACAAAGCGAAAGCGAUAAGUCAUCCACCUGGGGAGUACGAUCGCAAGGUUGAAACUCAAAGGAAUUGACGGGGGCCCGCACAAGCGGAGGAGCAUGUGGUUUAAUUCGAUGAUACGCGAGGAACCUUACCUAGACUCAAAUGCGGAACGGCAGGCGCGGAGACGCGCCCUUCCUUCGGGACGGACCGCAAGGUGCUGCAUGGUUGUCGUCAGCUCGUGCCGUGAGGUGUCAGGUUAAGUCCUAUAACGAGCGCAACCCCUACGUCCAGUUGCCAGCGGGCAAAGCCGGGGACUCUGGACGGACUGCCGGCGCAAGCCGAGAGGAAGGCGGGGAUGACGUCAAAUCAGCACGGCCCUUACGUCUAGGGCGACACACGUGCUACAAUGGCCGGUACAGAGGGCAGCCACGCCGCGAGGCGGAGCGAAUCUCGAAAGCCGGUCUCAGUUCGGAUCGGAGUCUGCAACCCGACUCCGUGAAGUUGGAUUCGCUAGUAAUCGCGCAUCAGCCAUGGCGCGGUGAAUACGUUCCCGGGCCUUGUACACACCGCCCGU